rnacentral:tRNA from 1 species
GGAUUGUGGCUUAGUGGUAGAGCACUUGCCUAACACAUGUCAGACACUGGGUUCAAACCUCAGCACCA